rnacentral:lncRNA from 1 species
ACCUAUGGAACAGCAGCGGUAGAAACUAGAGAUGAGACCCAGUUAACCAGAGAGACCUAUGGAACAGCAGCGGUAGAAACUAGAGAUGAGACCCAGUUAACCAGAGAGACCUAUGGAACAGCAGCGGUAGAAACUAGAGAUGAGACCUAUGGAACAGCAGCGGUAGAAACUAGAGAUGAGACCUAUGGAACAGCAGCGACCUAUGGAACAGCAGCGGUAGAAACUAGAGAUGAGACCUAUGGAACAGCAGCGGUAGAAACUAGAGAUGAGACCCAGUAGUGUGUGUUAGUGAGAGAUAAUCUAAAAUGUUCUAGGUGUUUUACAUCUACUAUAUAUAUUUGACUGAGGACGAUCUCUGUAGUUGAUUGCAGCAUGAAAUCCACUCUGUCGGUCACAAGAAAAGCGAUUUGCUCGUCACAUUUCACUCUUAGAUGUCGUUAGCUAGCUACGUGUGGCGUAUGUUAGGAAUAUUUCUCGAUGUAUAUGUGGGGACCGUGAAAUACGAACAUAGUUUGUUUUCGUCAUGGUUCGUCAUCGAUCUGUAUCCCUCCUCGUUCAUUCGUCGUGUUCUGUAUGUUGAUGAUGCUGUGGGCAACGGUGCAUUGAAGUGCUGCUUUCUUUACUAGAAAUCACUUUUUAUUUUUACACUUUAUUUUAAUUUUAUUUUUUACUUUUUUGGAGAGUCUCUUCUGACAGCUAAAACACUUAAAGAGCUGUUACACAAGUGCAGUCAAUGAGUAGUUAAUAAUUGAUUACAGUGCGACGACUUUCCCCCCCUCCGUGUAAUAUGCACUCUUAUCACUAUUGGUAAAUCACUCUAAAUAUGUACUGUAUCAUAGCAGCCAGCUGAUAACAUGUCUGUUACUAAGCAACUUCAAAAUAAACCAGAUGGCUUAUUAAUAUUAUUAUUAUUAUUAUUAUUCAUCUGAGUUCAUUAUUUCCACCUUCUCCAUGUACAAAAAAAACAAUAACAAAAAAGUUUAGAGAGGAAUAAGAAUCAGGAUUUUUAUCGAAUGCAAUUUUAUGUUGUCAGGCUAUCAUUUUAAAGAAAAGGGUGCAUUUCUUCUCCAGAGUGAAAUGAACUGUAUAAAGUAUUUAUGCAAUUAUUAACUGGGUUUUUAAUUUUGUGUUUAUUAUUAUUUUUCUGUCAGGAAGUUGUUACGUGUUUUGUGUGGAUUAACACAACUGACUUUGUGUCCAGUUGCAUUGUACAUGUUUUAACUGCAUUAUUUUUAGGGUUUAUUUUAAUAAUUUUUUUCGUGAUUUUUUUUCUUCUUUUUCUCAACGCAUUUGAGUUGUUUUAAGCCAUUAUUAACCCCCCAAGCGAUAGGUCGGUGUACAGUUACGAUGGGAGUGCUGGAGAUGUGCCCCAACUCUGGGUGGCCUUUUUGUAUUCUUUAUGGGAGAAAAAAAAAUAAGGACUGAUCAAAUUUAAAUAAUGUAUUAUUUUGAUGGUCUUGUAUUAGACUGCAUUACUACAGUAUCUAGUGUGCAAUCUGUGAUGAUAGCUGAAUGUUCAUUGUAUAUAUGUGUUCAGUACAACAAUGAGAAGAACCGUAGAAUAACCCCUACAGAAACUGUAACAAUAAUACAAUAGAUCUGGUACGUAUCAUUUCAUUAAAUACUUGCUGUUUACCAC